UACAGAGGGUGCGAGCGUUAAUCGGAAUCACUGGGCGUAAAGAGUGCGUAGGUGGUUAGAAAAGUUGAGUGUGAAAUCCCCGGGCUCAACCUGGGAAUUGCGCUCAAAACUGACUAGCUAGAGUAUGGUAGGGGGAAGUGGAAUUUCCGGUGUAGCGGUGAAAUGCGUAGAUAUCGGAAGGAACAUCAGUGGCGAAGGCGACUUCCUGGACUAAUACUGACACUGAGGCACGAAAGCGUGGGGAGCAAACAGG
rnacentral:rRNA from 1 species